GCCAUUUCAUCAUAAAGUUAAGAGGGAGUUAAAAUGGUUUUGCAAAUGGCUUGUAAAGUUUUCUUGUAUUUGUGGUUCUCAUAUUCUUGCGCUGAAGUCACCAUUGAUGCAAAAUAGGUUUUCCAAUCUCACUAAUUUCUUUACAAAUGAGCUCUCAUUUACAGGUUAUGCGCAUGUAGCUCAGAAUCCCGAAAACGGUGACGGAGUUUCAAACAUUUAGAAACAUUUAAGGGCUUUGAGCAGGAAUCUCAGUUUUGAAAGGUCUUCGAGAGGGAAAUGGUUGGAAGGGGCAGACACAAACGGCCAGAAUGAGUACAAUGAUGAAGAUGCUGUGGAUUAUGCAGAUGGCGAGCUCAAGGAUGAGUGAAACAUUUCAUUUGAUGAGGAGAAGGAAGAAAACCUAUUUGACAUUUGGUUGGAAGCAUAGCAAUGUUCCAUGGGUUGAGGGGCCAUUAGGUGACAUUCUUAGGGCGGUUAACUCACUCUUUAGGGGAGGCAAUGGGUUUCUUCUUUCACUUUGUGCUGUUGAUAACCCCUCCUGUGAUUUUAGGACAUUUUUUGGGAUAGGGGUAUUUGAAAAUGGGUCCACUUGCGUGUAGAGUGCUAGAGCUAAGUGCUUAUGGCUCUGCAGCUUGCUGUUUGGAAGCUGAGAUGGAGGGAUAGGAAAUGGCAGAGGUGUUGUCUAAUCCUAUGAAUGGUGAGAUGUUGUCUAACCUUGAUGCUGCUAUUUGUCCUGGUGAUGAGCAACCUGUGAAAAAGUCUUGAGUUGAACGAGUUUCAAGCAAGCCAAAUCCUUCUAUGCUAUUAUCCUUGGGAACCAUUGGGGAUGGUCUUUGUUUCUCCCUUAGAAUCCUAGAUUUUUUUUUUUUUUUAUAAAGUUGCUUCAAAGCUUGAGAACUCCCUCAUAGGGAAUUUUUCAGGAAAUAGGCCAAACAUCUUCUCCUUUGAAAAUGGGUUAAGAGAAAAUGGUACUGAUGCUGCCAUUUUGAGAUUGUGAUUACGGCAAAUGUGGGGUGCAACAAUGUGGACCUGGCAACUUUAUCCUAAGAAUGAUCAUGAUGCUGUUUAUCCUUGCUUCUGUAUACUUGAGGUUGAAUUGCAAUCAGAAGGAUCAUCCGAUUGUGAGUACUCUGCAAGAUGCAUGUUGUGAUCUUGAGCCUUAUCUGGUCACUACACUUUUGUCGAUUGUACGUUUUCGCGCCCUCCUAGAUGUUGUAUAAGAAUUUGUUGGUAGGGCCACUUGAUUCACUAGUUCCACUGACUGAGUAUCCACAACUGUACUUCAAGGAUCUGUAGUUGUAGUGUUGACCCAACUGAUUGCUAAGGGGUAGAGAAAAAAGUGAAGAAUAUAAUAAUAAUUACCUUUGCAAAUGUGAACACAUAUAUAUACAUAAAUGAUUGAGAACUAGCAAUAAUGUUAGAAAUAAAAAGAAAAAGAAAGGAAUGUUAGGAAUAUUACAUCUUUUUUGUAUCUCUAGGUUUGUUAAGCUCUAGGAUACAUACAAGAGACAUUUCUUAGUUUGUUAGUACCCGUGAAUAUUUGUAAUGGUUUGUUGGGAAUUGUUUAUCCUAUGAAUAUUUUAUCUAAAGGAGUUGUAAUAGGAGCUCUCCUAUAGAAUAGGAGAUGUAAGUCCUAUAAAUAUGUUACAUGUAUUAUUGAACGAAAUGAAAUAGAAGAACAAUAUUAUGCUA